CCUACGGGAGGCUGCAGUGGGGAAUAUUGGACAAUGGGGGCAACCCUGAUCCAGCCAUGCCGCGUGUGUGAAGAAGGCCCUCGGGUUGUAAAGCACUUUCAGUGAGGAAGAACGCCUUGUGGUUAAUACCCAUCAGGAAAGACAUCACUCACAGAAGAAGCACCGGCUAACUCCGUGCCAGCAGCCGCGGUAAUACGGAGGGUGCGAGCGUUAAUCGGAAUUACUGGGCGUAAAGCGCGCGUAGGUGGCUUGAUAAGCCGGUUGUGAAAGCCCCGGGCUCAACCUGGGAACGGCAUCCGGAACUGUCAAGCUAGAGUGCAGGAGAGGAAGGUAGAAUUCCCGGUGUAGCGGUGAAAUGCGUAGAGAUCGGGAGGAAUACCAGUGGCGAAGGCGGCCUUCUGGACUGACACUGACACUGAGGUGCGAAAGCGUGGGUAGCAAACAGGAUUAGAUACCCGUGUAGUC
rnacentral:rRNA from 1 species